CGGUCUACAUCCAGAAGUCUCCGGUUUGUUGGUACUGGUGUAAAUAGCUACCAAAGGGUGAAGACUGAGGUAAUGAGCAAGAUCACAACGAAACCCUACCGGUUCAGCAGUAUGUAUCCACCAUGUAGAGGGUAAACGUGAUGAGAGGAUGUUAGCACAGAAGUAACAACUCGGAGAUGCCUCGUCUUAACAGGAGAUUUUAAAGCUGAGAAUAGUCUACCGUGGGCUGAAGGCACAUGGUGAAAACAUGGAAAGCAUGAAGGCGCAUGGUGAAAACAUGCACAAUGGGAGUGAUGCAGAGAAGAUGGCACUGAAUUAUGUGUAUGUCCUGGAACUUCAUGCUAUGAGGGAUUUUGGGUUAUUGGACAUUCUAGAGAUACUUGUCGUUCCACUGUCUCUUCAAGGACUUAGGACUUGGCCAAUUUUAACUUUUGGAAGUUGAAAGCAAGCCUUCCCUGAAGGCAGGGUAACUCAUUAAGAACUGCUGCAGGAUUGCUCUGCACCUUCUAGUACACCAGUUUUGAGGAAGCAUCCCACAACAUCUAAAAGUCACACUUUUACCCAUGUGUUUAUGGAAAAUGGUUGAGUAAGACUGAAGGAAAUUUGUAAGUAUGGAAAGGGUAGAGUAAUCUUUUUGUGAAAAUUGCAGUUUGACAAAGGUAACAGUCUUUAAAGAAGAGUUUUGGUUUUUUGGUGAGGGAAAAAAAGCCACUGUGAAAAAGCCUAUCUUGGAGUCACCACUGAACACACAGGGAAGGCAUAAGCUCUCUCGAUGCUUCCACUCGAAAGGUGGCAAAGACAUCUCCAAUAAUGCUACCUAAUAUGGAUACAUCCAUCAACACAGAUUCAAGAUGAGCUCCCACAUCCAUCAGCGGCUCUGGAGGCGGCGUGGGCGUUGCCGUGGGCACCUGCGGGAGAUUUAAACGCGGCGUAACCGCCAGCAGCGUUCAGUUGGCGGCGAGGCCAGCGGAGGCGACGGUGGAGAACAAAGAGCUAACUCUUCCUCUUGGAAGCCACAAGAAUUUGUGAGAACAGAGAUGAUGUGGGAAACCUUGUGCACUCUCUUCUGGGUGACGUCAAGAGCAUUGCCAAACCUACCAUGUAAAAAGUACUCCAGAUAGUGAGGUGUGAAUGUGGCAGUCAGCUCCUUCAUCACCAUUUCAAGCAUUCUCAGAUCAUUGGCUUUGCAGGAUAUUUCACUGAAGGAAUGAGAACAAAUCAACUACAAACUUGCAUGGAAAAAGCACACAAGUUUUAGAUGUCAAUCUCCAAUUACCAGUGACUGAAAGGGCAAAGGACCCCACUCCAGUGCCACAGUCAAUAUUCCUCACAGUCUGGUCCCAUGUGCCGACGGGCUGGAGCACAGGAAUUGUCCUCCUGGAGUACCUUUCCGAUGUUGGUUUCACCCCAAAGUCUGAUGCCUAUGCUCUGACCUGCAGUGCAA